rnacentral:rRNA from 1 species
GAAAAGAAACCAACAGGGAUUGCCCUAGUAACGGCGAGUGAAGCGGCAACAGCUCAAAUUUGAAAUCUGGCUUCGGCCCGAGUUGUAAUUUGCAGAGGAUGUUUCUGGCGCGGUGCCUUCCGAGUUCCCUGGAACGGGACGCCACAGAGGGUGAGAGCCCCGUAUGGUUGGACACCAAGCCUGUGUGAAACUCCUUCGACGAGUCGAGUAGUUUGGGAAUGCUGCUCAAAAUGGGAGGUAAAUCUCUUCUAAAGCUAAAUACCGGCCAGAGACCGAUAGCGCACAAGUAGAGUGAUCGAAAGAUGAAAAGCACCUUGAAAAGGGGGUUAAACAGUACGUGAAAUUGUUGAAAGGNAAGCGCUUGUGACCAGACUUGCGCCGGGCGGUUCAUCCGGGGUUCUCCCCGGUGCACUCCGCCCGGUUCAGGCCAGCAUCGGUUCUCGUUGGGGGAUAAGAACGGCAGGAACGUGGCCCUCCUCCGGGAGGGUGUUAUAGCCUGCCGUACGAUACCCUGACGGGGACCGAGGUUCGCGCUCCGCAAGGAUGCUGC